rnacentral:rRNA from 1 species
CGUAGUAACUAGCCAAUUAAUUGUUGCACGUAUGAAAGGCUUCACGAGUGUCCCGCUGUCUCGAGAUAUACCCAGUGAAAUGAAUUGUAGUGAAGAUGCUACAUACAAGUGUAAGACGAGUAGACCCUGUGAGCUUUACUGGACGUUUGCAUUAAACCGAAACAGGGCCGAGCGUGGCAGGCACACUCGGGAUGGGCGGUACAAAGUGUGAGUGAGACAGUUUGACUGGGAGGGUCGCCUUCAAGAGAGUAUCGAAGGUGAGCAGAAGGUGU